UGCGAACUCCUACGGGAGGCAGCAGUGGGGAAUAUUGCACAAUGGGGGAAACCCUGAUGCAGCGACGCAGCGUGCGGGAUGACGGCCUUCGGGUUGUAAACCGCUUUCAGCAGGGAAGAAGCGAAAGUGACGGUACCUGCAGAAGAAGUACCGGCUAACUACGUGCCAGCAGCCGCGGUAAUACGUAGGGUACGAGCGUUGUCCGGAAUUAUUGGGCGUAAAGAGCUCGUAGGUGGUUGGUCACGUCUGCUGUGGAAACGCAACGCUUAACGUUGCGCGUGCAGUGGGUACGGGCUGACUAGAGUGCAGUAGGGGAGUCUGGAAUUCCUGGUGUAGCGGUGAAAUGCGCAGAUAUCAGGAGGAACACCGGUGGCGAAGGCGGGACUCUGGGCUGUAACUGACACUGAGGAGCGAAAGCAUGGGGAGCGAACAGGAUUAGAAACCCUGGUAGUCCAGAUG
rnacentral:rRNA from 1 species